GAUGAACGCUGGCGGUAUGCCUUACACAUGCAAGUCGAACGGAAAUUAGCUUCGGUUAAUUUUAGUGGCGGACGGGUGAGUAACACGUGAGAAUUUGCCUUUAGGAGGGGGAUAACGAAUGGAAACAUUCGCUAAAACCCCAUAUGCCCCAGGGUGAAAAAGAGGAAAAUAGUUAGACUGAAUUACCUCUGCCUGAAGAGAAGCUCGCGGCUGAUUAGCUAGUUGGUAGGGUAAUGGCCUACCAAGGCGACGAUCAGUAGCUGGUCUGAGAGGACGAUCAGCCACACUGGAACUGAGACACGGUCCAGACUCCUACGGGUGGCUG
rnacentral:rRNA from 1 species